rnacentral:rRNA from 1 species
CCCAGAGUGACAGCCACUGAAUUCCGGCCAUCUAGGUGUUAUAGGGAUGUUUAGACAUCACCCGGAAUAAUAUAAGUGAAAAUAAUGAUAUUAGCUUAAGAGUAAGUGCUGUCCAAUGCUCGUGCCAGAAGACUCGGUAACGCGAGUAGCGCAAACGUUAGUCGUCUUAUACAGGCGUAAAGGGUGUGUAGGCAGCUUUAAUCCCCUUAUUUUUAUAGCAUUAAAAAAUAAGUCUAAUUAAAGCUAGAAUCAGAUAUGGGAUAAGCAAAAGAAUACUCAGUUUAGGGCCGAUAUCCUUAAAAAUUGAGCGGAAUACUAAUAGGUGAAAGCUUUUUAUCUACUAAUGAUUGACGCUGAGAAACGAAGGUGGGAAAAGAAAAUAGGAUUUGAUACCCAGAUAUCUCCCACUGUCAACGAUGAAUGGUGGCUGUUAGUCUUUAAGAUUGGUGGCGAUGUUAACGCGAUAACCAUUCCGCCUUGCGAGUACGGUUGCAAAACUGAAAUCAAAAAAAUUAGUCGGUCUCGGAGCAAACGAAGUGAAGCAUGUUAUUUAUGAAAAAAAACCCCCAAAA